GCCCACAUAGCUCAGGUGGUAGAGCGUCGCCUUGGUAAGGCGAAGGUCGUCGGUUCAACCCCGACUGUGGGCUCCA
rnacentral:tRNA from 1 species